CAUUAGAAAGCUAACCCAGACAAUAGCAUUAGCUUCUCAAGCUAAAGACAGUGGUAACCAACCACCUCUCAUGA
rnacentral:tRNA from 1 species